AGUAGAAUCAUCUUUUAAUAGCAAAGCUGGUAGACUUACAGGCAGAGGCAGCACAUGGAAGACAAAGAGGAAAACAGACAUGGAGCAAGGCAGUAAACAGUCAUGGAAAGGUUAGGCAUGACAACAAGGAUCACAGAGGCAGACAUGGAGCAUGGAGUGAACAAGAAGAGAGGAGUAUGUUAAGACCCUACAUAGCAGCUUGUGUUUGAUCAUUCUUCUUGCAACAUCUUCAAACAGCAUGAAAGGGCAUCUCUUGUCCACAGUCCUCUUCAGUAGUCACCCUGAAGCCUAAUGACGGUGUUAUGGCUCCUACCCUUGCCUGCGCUGCUGUCAUUUAAGACUGCAGCAGCUUGUAUUGUCAUGGUCUGCCAUUUGCUACUGGCGAGGCUGACAUGAAGCAUCCCGU